CCUACGGGAGGCAGCAGUGAGGAAUAUUGGUCAAUGGACGCAAGUCUGAACCAGCCAUGCCGCGUGCAGGAAGACGGCUCUAUGAGUUGUAAACUGCUUUUGUACGAGGGUAAACGCAGAUACGCGUAUCUGUCUGAAAGUAUCGUACGAAUAAGGAUCGGCUAACUCCGUGCCAGCAGCCGCGGUAAUACGGAGGAUUCAAGCGUUAUCCGGAUUUAUUGGGUUUAAAGGGUGCGUAGGCGGUCUGAUAAGUUAGUGGUGAAAGCCCGAGGCUCAACUUCGGAAUUGCCUCUGAUACUGUUCGGCUAGAGAGUAGUUGCGGUAGGCGGAAUGUAUGGUGUAGCGGUGAAAUGCUUAGAGAUCAUACAGAACACCGAUUGCGAAGGCAGCUUACCAAGCUACUUCUGACGUUGAGGCACGAAAGCGUGGGGAGCAAACAGGAUUAGAUACCCCUGUAGUC
rnacentral:rRNA from 1 species